UACGAGGGGUGCAAGCGUUGCUCGGAAUUAUUGGGCGUAAAGGGCAAGUAGGUGGUCUCAUUUGUCUGGGGUGAAAGCCUUGAGCUUAACUCAAGAAGUGCCCCGGAAACGGUGAGACUCGAGUAUUGGAGAGGGUCGUGGAAUUCCCGGUGUAGCGGUGAAAUGCGUAGAGAUCGGGAGGAACACCUGUGGCGAAGGCGGCCCCCUGGGCCGGCCCUGACACUGAGACGCGAAGGCGUGGGGAGCGAACGGG
rnacentral:rRNA from 1 species